rnacentral:tRNA from 1 species
GCCGAAGUGGCGGAACGGCAGACGCACUAGAUUCAGGGUCUAGCGAGGGCGACCUCGUGGGGGUUCAAAUCCCCCCUUCGGCACCA